CUGAAAAGCUUAAGAUAGGAUAGUUUUACCUACUUCAAUGAAGUAUUCAAAAGUAAAAUGCAGCCAAAGGCCAUGAAAAAUAAGAUGCUUCUUUUAAAAAGUUUUCAAGGGUUGCUGUCUGGAUUAAUGACUGACUGUUAAUAAGGACUCAUCACCCCCUCCCCCCAGCCAGUAUCUCAGCGGCCAUGAGCACAGGUUACCAAAUUUCUCAGAAGAUCUACAAGUGCUGAUCGCGGAGUUUCUGGAUUGUUCCCGGCUUGGCCUGGAUGCUGUGACUGAAAACGGAAAUACAUCGGUCAGCACUCAGCUUGCCAGCCAUCGGCCAGGUCGCAGUGUU